UUAAGCGACUAAGCGUACACGGUGGAUGCCCUGGCAGUCAGAGGCGAUGAAGGACGUGCUAAUCUGCGAUAAGCGUCGGUAAGGUGAUAUGAACCGUUAUAACCGGCGAUUUCCGAAUGGGGAAACCCAGUGUGUUUCGACACACUAUCAUUAACUGAAUCCAUAGGUUAAUGAGGCGAACCGGGGGAACUGAAACAUCUAAGUACCCCGAGGAAAAGAAAUCAACCGAGAUUCCCCCAGUAGCGGCGAGCGAACGGGGAGCAGCCCAGAGCCUGAAUCAGUGUGUGUGUUAGUGGAAGCGUCUGGAAAGGCGUGCGAUACAGGGUGACAGCCCCGUACACAAAAAUGCACAUGCUGUGAGCUCGAUGAGUAGGGCGGGACACGUGGUAUCCUGUCUGAAUAUGGGGGGACCAUCCUCCAAGGCUAAAUACUCCUGACUGACCGAUAGUGAACCAGUACCGUGAGGGAAAGGCGAAAAGAACCCCGGCGAGGGGAGUGAAAAAGAACCUGAAACCGUGUACGUACAAGCAGUGGGAGCACGCUUAGGCGUGUGACUGCGUACCUUUUGUAUAAUGGGUCAGCGACUUAUAUUCUGUAGCAAGGUUAACCGAAUAGGGGAGCCGAAGGGAAACCGAGUCUUAACUGGGCGUUAAGUUGCAGGGUAUAGACCCGAAACCCGGUGAUCUAGCCAUGGGCAGGUUGAAGGUUGGGUAACACUAACUGGAGGACCGAACCGACUAAUGUUGAAAAAUUAGCGGAUGACUUGUGGCUGGGGGUGAAAGGCCAAUCAAACCGGGAGAUAGCUGGUUCUCCCCGAAAGCUAUUUAGGUAGCGCCUCGUGAAUUCAUCUCCGGGGGUAGAGCACUGUUUCGGCAAGGGGGUCAUCCCGACUUACCAACCCGAUGCAAACUGCGAAUACCGGAGAAUGUUAUCACGGGAGACACACGGCGGGUGCUAACGUCCGUCGUGAAGAGGGAAACAACCCAGACCGCCAGCUAAGGUCCCAAAGUCAUGGUUAAGUGGGAAACGAUGUGGGAAGGCCCAGACAGCCAGGAUGUUGGCUUAGAAGCAGCCAUCAUUUAAAGAAAGCGUAAUAGCUCACUGGUCGAGUCGGCCUGCGCGGAAGAUGUAACGGGGCUAAACCAUGCACCGAAGCUGCGGCAGCGACGCUUAUGCGUUGUUGGGUAGGGGAGCGUUCUGUAAGCCUGCGAAGGUGUGCUGUGAGGCAUGCUGGAGGUAUCAGAAGUGCGAAUGCUGACAUAAGUAACGAUAAAGCGGGUGAAAAGCCCGCUCGCCGGAAGACCAAGGGUUCCUGUCCAACGUUAAUCGGGGCAGGGUGAGUCGACCCCUAAGGCGAGGCCGAAAGGCGUAGUCGAUGGGAAACAGGUUAAUAUUCCUGUACUUGGUGUUACUGCGAAGGGGGGACGGAGAAGGCUAUGUUGGCCGGGCGACGGUUGUCCCGGUUUAAGCGUGUAGGCUGGUUUUCCAGGCAAAUCCGGAAAAUCAAGGCUGAGGCGUGAUGACGAGGCACUACGGUGCUGAAGCAACAAAUGCCCUGCUUCCAGGAAAAGCCUCUAAGCAUCAGGUAACAUCAAAUCGUACCCCAAACCGACACAGGUGGUCAGGUAGAGAAUACCAAGGCGCUUGAGAGAACUCGGGUGAAGGAACUAGGCAAAAUGGUGCCGUAACUUCGGGAGAAGGCACGCUGAUAUGUAGGUGAAGUCCCUCGCGGAUGGAGCUGAAAUCAGUCGAAGAUACCAGCUGGCUGCAACUGUUUAUUAAAAACACAGCACUGUGCAAACACGAAAGUGGACGUAUACGGUGUGACGCCUGCCCGGUGCCGGAAGGUUAAUUGAUGGGGUCAGCGCAAGCGAAGCUCUUGAUCGAAGCCCCGGUAAACGGCGGCCGUAACUAUAACGGUCCUAAGGUAGCGAAAUUCCUUGUCGGGUAAGUUCCGACCUGCACGAAUGGCGUAAUGAUGGCCAGGCUGUCUCCACCCGAGACUCAGUGAAAUUGAACUCGCUGUGAAGAUGCAGUGUACCCGCGGCAAGACGGAAAGACCCCGUGAACCUUUACUAUAGCUUGACACUGAACAUUGAGCCUUGAUGUGUAGGAUAGGUGGGAGGCUUGGAAGUGUGGACGCCAGUCUGCAUGGAGCCGACCUUGAAAUACCACCCUUUAAUGUUUGAUGUUCUAACGUUGACCCGUGAUCCGGGUUGCGGACAGUGUCUGGUGGGUAGUUUGACUGGGGCGGUCUCCUCCUAAAGAGUAACGGAGGAGCACGAAGGUUGGCUAAUCCUGGUCGGACAUCAGGAGGUUAGUGCAAUGGCAUAAGCCAGCUUGACUGCGAGCGUGACGGCGCGAGCAGGUGCGAAAGCAGGUCAUAGUGAUCCGGUGGUUCUGAAUGGAAGGGCCAUCGCUCAACGGAUAAAAGGUACUCCGGGGAUAACAGGCUGAUACCGCCCAAGAGUUCAUAUCGACGGCGGUGUUUGGCACCUCGAUGUCGGCUCAUCACAUCCUGGGGCUGAAGUAGGUCCCAAGGGUAUGGCUGUUCGCCAUUUAAAGUGGUACGCGAGCUGGGUUUAGAACGUCGUGAGACAGUUCGGUCCCUAUCUGCCGUGGGCGCUGGAGAACUGAGGGGGGCUGCUCCUAGUACGAGAGGACCGGAGUGGACGCAUCACUGGUGUUCGGGUUGUCAUGCCAAUGGCACUGCCCGGUAGCUAAAUGCGGAAGAGAUAAGUGCUGAAAGCAUCUAAGCACGAAACUUGCCCCGAGAUGAGUUCUCCCUGACUCCUUGAGAGUCCUGAAGGAACGUUGAAGACGACGACGUUGAUAGGCCGGGUGUGUAAGCGCAGCGAUGCGUUGAGCUAACCGGUACUAAUGAACCGUGAGGCUUAACCUU
rnacentral:rRNA from 1 species